rnacentral:rRNA from 1 species
AAUCUUCCGCAAUGGACGCAAGUCUGACGGAGCAACGCCGCGUGAGUGAGGAAGGUUUUCGGAUCGUAAAGCUCUGUUGUGAGGGAAGAACGGCUAUGGGAGUAACUGCCCGUAGAUUGACGGUACCUCACCAGAAAGCCACGGCUAACUACGUGCCAGCAGCCGCGGUAAUACGUAGGUGGCAAGCGUUGUCCGGAAUUAUUGGGCGUAAAGGGCGCGCAGGCGGUCCUAUAAGUCUGAUGUGAAAUCUUGCGGCUUAACCGCAAGCGGUCAUUGGAAACUGUAGGACUUGAGGACAGAAGAGGAGAGUGGAAUUCCACGUGUAGCGGUGAAAUGCGUAGAGAUGUGGAGGAACACCAGUGGCGAAGGCGGCUCUCUGGUCUGUGACAGACGCUGAGGCGCGAAAGCGUGGGUAGCAAAC